UACGGGGGGGGCAAGCGUUGUUCGGAAUUACUGGGCGUAAAGGGCUCGUAGGCGGCCAACUAAGUCAGACGUGAAAUCCCUCGGCUUAACCGGGGAACUGCGUCUGAUACUGGAUGGCUUGAGUUCGGGAGAGGGAUGCGGAAUUCCAGGUGUAGCGGUGAAAUGCGUAGAUAUCUGGAGGAACACCGGUGGCGAAGGCGGCAUCCUGGACCGAUACUGACGCUGAGGAGCGAAAGCCAGGGGAGCAAAGCGGGG
rnacentral:rRNA from 1 species